rnacentral:rRNA from 1 species
ACUCCUACGGGAGGCAGCAGUGGGAAUCUUGGACAAUGGGCGCAAGCCUGAUCCAGCCAUGCCGCGUGAGUGAUGAAGGCCUUAGGGUCGUAAAGCUCUUUCGCCAGGGAUGAUAAUGACAGUACCUGGUAAAGAAACCCCGCUAACUCCGUGCCAGCAGCCGCGGUAAUACGGAGGGGUUAGCGUUGUUCGGAAUUACUGGGCGUAAAGCGCACGUAGGCGGAUUGGAAAGUUGGGGGUGAAAUCCCAGGGCUCAACCCUGGAACUGCCUCCAAAACUACCAGUCUAGAGUUCGAGAGAGGUGAGUGGAAUUCCGAGUGUAGAGGUGAAAUUCGUAGAUAUUCGGAGGAACACCAGUGGCGAAGGCGGCUCACUGGCUCGAUACUGACGCUGAGGUGCGAAAGUGUGGGGAGCAAACAGGAUUAGAUACCCUGGUAGGCUCUGC